UACUGUAGUGAUUUUAGGGUUCAUCAAAAUUAUGUUGAAAAUCUGGAGUUUUGUUCCGGGUGCUAGAAACUGCUAAACUUAAGUGCUUGAAAUUAUGAAGUUUAUCUGGAAUGCAGAUUUCUAACGUUCAUGCGUUGAAUACUUGAGCACUGUGAACCAACAGCACAUCCUUGUAUUACUACCCGAAUUUCACUUAGUUUAUCGAACAUUUCAAAAUGAGUAUAAUCGGUAGCUUCAUUGAACUUUGUGAAUUACAUUAUUUGUUUACUUAGAAUGGUAAAAUAUCCGGGACAACUUCAGUGAAACUUGGAAGACGAUCUGAUGAACUAUUGGCAGUUAAUAUCUUGUGGACAAAACUCCUAAUAGCCAACGAAACUUGAUCAUGUCGAGGACGCCCACUAGCCUCGCACUAGCGAAUUCCGUUAGAAAAUUUGUAUUGAAUGAUCUUCACAGAGGGUCGAAAUAAGUUCUUGAAGGACACGAAAUCAAGGAGUAUUGCAGUGACUUCUCUUCAUGAACUGCAACUCUUCAUGGACUGCAACUCUUCAUGGACUGCAAGUCUUGUACAAUAUCAACACUAAUAUCUAACAGCCUUAGUAUUCGUUACUGUUACUUUCUAUAACGCUUGCCAAAAGUUUUUAUAAGGUUGUUAUACGACUAUGGUUCUAGAAAAGGUUGGAAACCUC